AGCAGCCGCGGUAAUUCCAGCUCCAAUAGCGUAUAUUAAAGUUGUUGCAGUUAAAAAGCUCGUAGUUGAAUUUCGGGAUCAAUAUGUUUGGUCGUGCCUCGGUACGUACUAGCUUAUUGGUUUCUCCUUUCUGAAGAACCAUGAUGUCAUUCAUUUGGUGUCGUGGGGAAUCAGGACUGUUACUUUGAAAAAUUAGAGUGUUUAAAGCAGGCUCACGCUUGAAUACAUUAGCAUGGAAUAAUGAAAUAGGACGUUUGAUUCUAUUUUGUUGGUUUCUAGGAUCGACGUAAUGAUUAAUAGGGAUAGUUGGGGGCAUUAGUAUUCAAUUGUCAGAGGUGAAAUUCUUGGAUUUAUUUGAAGACUAACUACUGCGAAAGCAUUUGCCAAGGAUGUUUUCAUUAAUCAAGAACGAAAGUUAGGGGAUCGAAGACGAUCAGAUACCGUCGUAGUCUUAACCAUAAACUAUGCCGACUAGGGAUCGGAUGAUGUUAAUUUUUAAUGUACUCAUUCGGCGCCUUAA
rnacentral:rRNA from 1 species